rnacentral:rRNA from 1 species
UACGAAGGGGGCUAGCGUUGCUCGGAAUCACUGGGCGUGAAGGGUGCGUAGGCGGGUCUUUAAGUCAGGGGUGAAAUCCUGGAGCUCAACUCCAGAACUGCCUUUGAUACUGAGGAUCUUGAGUUCGGGAGAGGUGAGUGGAACUGCGAGUGUAGAGGUGAAAUUCGUAGAUAUUCGCAAGAACACCAGUGGCGAAGGCGGCUCACUGGCCCGAUACUGACGCUGAGGCACGAAAGCGUGGGGAGCAAACAGG